AUACGGAGGAUGCGAGCGUUAUCCGGAUUUAUUGGGUUUAAAGGGUGCGCAGGCGGCCGUGCAAGUCAGCGGUGAAAGCCCGGGGCUCAACCCCGGAAGUGCCGUUGAUACUGCAUGGCUGGAAUGCGGUCGAGGCGGGCGGAACGUGGCGGGGAGCGGGGAAAUGCGUAGAUAUGCCACAGAACGCCGAUAGCGGAGGCAGCUCGCCAGGCCUGCAUUGACGCUCGGGCACGAAAGCGUGGGGAUCGAACAGGAUUAGAUACCCUGGUAGUCCACGCCGUAAACGAUGGGCGCUCGUCGUCGGCGGCAGACAGUCGGCGGCCAAGCGAAAGCGAUAAGCGCCCCACCUGGGGAGUACGGUCGCAAGGCUGAAACUCAAAUGAAUUGACGGGG
rnacentral:rRNA from 1 species